rnacentral:rRNA from 1 species
UACGUAGGGUGCGAGCGUUGUCCGGAAUUAUUGGGCGUAAAGGGCUCGUAGGCGGUUUGUCGCGUCGGGAGUGAAAACCUACAGCUUAACUGUGGGCUUGCUUUCGAUACGGGCAGACUAGAGGUACGCAGGGGAGAACGGAAUUCCUGGUGUAGCGGUGAAAUGCGCAGAUAUCAGGAGGAACACCGGUGGCGAAGGCGGUUCUCUGGGCAUGAUCUGACGCUGAGGAGCGAAAGUGUGGGGAGCGAACAGG